AUACGGAGGAUCCGAGCGUUAUCCGGAUUUAUUGGGUUUAAAGGGUGCGCAGGUGGCCAUUUAAGUCAGCGGUUAAAUCGUGGGGCUCAACCCCAUUCUGCCGUUGAUACUGGGUGGCUUGAUUGCGGUCGAGGUUGGCGGAAUUCGUUGUGUAGCGGUGAAAUGCAUAGAUAUGACGAAGAACACCGAUUGCGUAGGCAGCUGACCAGACCGCAAAUGACGCUCAUGCACGAAAGUGCGGGGAUCGAACAGGAUUAGAUACCCUGGUAGUCCGCACAGUAAACGAUGAAUACUUGUUUUCGGCGAUAUAAUGUCGGAGGCAAAGCGAAAGCGAUAAGUAUUCCACCUGGGGAGUACGCCGGCAACGGUGAAACUCAAAUGAAUUGGCGGGG
rnacentral:rRNA from 1 species